GAUGAAGAACGUAUCGAAAUGCGAUAAGUAGUGUGAAUUGCAGAAUUCAGUGAAUCAUCGAAUCUUUGAACGCACAUUGCGCCCCUUGGUAUUCCAUGGGGCAUGCCUGUUCGAGCGUCAUUUGUACCUUCAAGCUCUGCUUGGUGUUGGGUGUUUGUCCUUGCUCUAGUGGCGGGACUCGCCUUAAAGUAAUUGGCAGCCAGUGUUUUGGUUUUGAAGCGCAGCACAAGUCGCGAUUCAAGUCUAUACGCUAGUUUCCACAAGUCUUUUAUCACUUUUGACCUCGGAUCAGGUAGGGAUACCCGCUGAACUUAAGCAUAUCAAUAAGCGGAGGA
rnacentral:misc_RNA from 1 species